rnacentral:rRNA from 1 species
UACGUAGGGUGCAAGCGUUGUCCGGAAUUAUUGGGCGUAAAGAGCUCGUAGGCGGUCUGUCGCGUCGGCUGUGAAAACCCGGGGCUCAACCCCGGGCCUGCAGUCGAUACGGGCAGACUAGAGUGCGGUAGGGGUGACUGGAAUUCCUGGUGUAGCGGUGAAAUGCGCAGAUAUCAGGAGGAACACCGGUGGCGAAGGCGGGUCUCUGGGCCGAUACUGACGCUGAGGAGCGAAAGCAUGGGUAGCGAACAGG